AAUAUGAGCAGAAUCAUUUUUGCAAACAAAUUAGAAUUGGUUUGCAUGACUUUUAAGCAAGCUUCAAUGUUGAGGAAGACAACACAAUCUUAUCAAAUCAACAAAAUACUAAAAGGUCUAGGCGAAGGAUCUAUUGGUAGACAGGGAAAAGAGUUAAGCUAGGGGUUUGCUUGUGAUUUGUAAAGAACUGCAACCCCUUUUCUUUGAGCAAGUACAAUGUAAUGUAUUUAAGAUUAAGGUGCCAGUAGGAUGUGAUUAUAUAUAUGCAUGUGAAUAUGUGUGGAUUGUAUGCCUUUAUAUGAUUUUUUAUCUGCUUGUGAACUUGUGAUUAGAAAACUUGGUUAUGGUAUGUGGUUUUGAUAGAUUUAUUUAGUAGACCAAGUUUCUACUACAAGCAGAUAUUUAUUUUGAUAUGUAUGUGAUUCUAUAAGUAAAUGCAAAGUGGUUGCAUUGCAAA